ACAUGCAGACAUAACGCCUGACUAGUAGUUGGAUCGGUGACGACCAGCGAAUCCCAGGUGUUGCAUGUU
rnacentral:rRNA from 1 species